CUCGCUGUAGCUCAGCGGAUAGAGCAGCUUUCCGACGAAUUCGCAGGUCGUGGGUUCAAAUCCCACCAGUGAGACCA
rnacentral:tRNA from 2 species